AGAUGCGCUCACCACCGUCCUGCCGUUCCCCACCGUCGUCCGCAUCCAAGCCGCCCCGCCGUGCUCCCUACCGGACUGUCGAGUCCACCGCAGCCCGUCUCCCAACCGCCGCACCGCCUCCCCUCCGUCCCGCCGUGUCCCCUGCAUCACCACCGCACUGUUGUGUGCCCUGCCGCCCGGCCGUGCCCCACGCUGCACUGCCCUAUCGUGCCCCCUCUUCUUCCCCUCGUAUACCUCCAGCAUGGUCGUGAGUCGUGACGGCGAUGCGCGACCCAUGGUGACCUUGCCACGGCUGGAGUUGAACGACCACCGGAUCUACCCGACAUCGUACCCCCUCCUUCUCUCCCAACAGGAACAUGUUCUUACCGGUGUUCAGGUUCUGAUGGUAAUUCAGGCUCUUGCAUGAAUAAGCUUUUUGAGGUGAUGUUAUGUAGUUUAGGCUACUUGCGAGCCUUUGGCAACUAAAAAAAGAGCGUCUACCAACGAAAUUCCCCCAUCUCCAGUUCCACCUGCUUGUUCACCAUCUCUUGCAGAUUUUCGAAACAAGCCAAGAACCACCAGCUUUAUGUGCUCUGCAACAAACAGAUAUGUUGCUUCCAAAGUAGUUUCAAAGACUUCAACAUAUCCAAACAAGCGGAAUGUUGCAUAUGCUACUAUUGGGAGUACUGAUCCAGAAACUAAGGCUGGUGAUAUUGAGUCAGGUAACAAAUUUCAUGUGUGUGCAUAGAUGAAACUAUUCUGGAUAAUGAGUUAGUAAGGUAAGUUGAAGUUUCUCAUUGGUGAUGCUUUUGCUCCAGGAUACUUAAUUGCCUGGUCUUAAGCUUUUGCGAGUUAAAAGUCUUUCUUCCUAUUUCAAAAUUAUAUUUGUAUACAUUUAAUCACAUAACUGUAAGGUCCAAUUUUCUUCGGAAAAUGUUUUUGGCAGGGGCGCCAGUCGAACUGUUUCGCCGGACACGCUCUGCGCAUUGGACCUCUUUAGAUCCAAAGACACAGGUUGUGCCACGUGUGCCUCCCAUCCAAUUAGGUGCUCCCCCAGUUUUGUUGCAACCGCUCACGAAGGGGGUCAUGAGGGGCUCAUUUCGCGUUAGUCAGAGGAGCAGAGGGACGGCGGAUCUAGCGACCGGAGGGGCGACUCAUCAGCGGCGCCUGAGAUCUGGGACAGGAGGGGUGACGGCGUCGAUUGAAUCCAGGACGGAUCUCGCUUCCCCUAGGACUAAUGGAUCCUUUGGCAGAUGUUGCAGGCACCUCUAAUGAGAAUGAGGGGAAUAUGAAGGUUAAGAAGAAGAAAUAAGAAGAGAGGCAAUCUAUGUGGCUUUAAGUCAAGGUUUAACUCAAAAAGGCUUGGUGAAAUUGGGAAGCAAGUAUUACUGGAAACAUAGAAUCAUAAGGAUGGGACUGUUUGAAAACUUGUUGGACAUGUGGCCUUUUAAGGUGCCCCACGAGCUCAUUGAGUUUGUUGUGAUGAACACGAAUCACAUACUCUUUGAGUUCAAACACAAGAACAAAUCCAUCAUCUUCAGCAAACUCAUGAUGAAAAGGAUUUUUAACGUGCCAUUUGGUGAUAGACUCGUGAAGCUUUUUAAGAAGAGUGAUGAACAUGAUCUUCGCACCAUCUACAAGGAAGGGAACAUGGCUUUAAUCGCCCAUGUUGUCAAGUUGCUCAAUAGUUGUAGCGAUGAAAACGUGGUUAUGAUAAAUAGGACUUGGGCGCCCCUUGCUUUGGCAAUAGUUUUGUGCCCAGGCAUUGGCAAUAUUACGUGAAUCUCGAGUAUGUAGGCAUGUCUUUGGUCCAUGAAUUCGUUUGGGAUGAGCAUUUGUUGGCAUGAGCGAUGAAGGAGGUUGCAAUCUUUCAAGAGAAGAAGAUGAUGCAAGCAAAUACAGAAAAAGCAGUAAAGUUUCAGAUCGCUUCAUGCCUUCCCAUGUUAGCGAUCAUAUACAUAGAUCAUAUUCAUAUCCCGGCCGGCCUCCCAAACGAGCAUGUAAUUGAUUAUUUCAUGUCGAGGAUAUGUUUUGUUUGUCAAAAAGAUUUUGAUUGGUUGGAUAAUGUUGACAAGAACAAUCCCACUCUUGUCCAACCUUUUUAUGGGAAACACACCCAAGUAAUUUUGCUACAUCUCGUCUAUAUAUUUCUUUUGCCAAUGGAGUAUUAACACUCUCUUUGCUUUUCCAUUUAGGUUAUGUUAAGCUUCUUAUUUUCGCCACUCAUGUUUUGUUUUUCAAGAUCCGGAGUUUGUGCAACACCCCUAUGCAGCACAACUCAUUUGACAGGAAAUUGGUGCUAAAGCAGCCAGUGGGCAGGGAGUUGGCGCUGAAGCACCUAGUGGCCAAGGAAGCCAAAUUUAAGGUGCUGAUGUUCAAGCAAACGAAUCUCAAUCAAGCGAGGCUCAACCAAAUGUUGAUGUUGAACCACAUCUAUCAUCAUCGCUCAACGAUUGGCUGUAGCAAUCAUUCCCUAGCUUGCAAGAUCUAAGGGUACAAAUUCAGUUCCAAAUGUUGUACGACAAGCACAGGGGUAUUUUUGCAGCGAAGGUGGAUGACGUAGUAGGCAAGUUUAUACCGUGUUUAAAAGGGAUUGCAGUGCAACCGGAUGGUCGCUCUCCUUCGUGAUGUUGGAGACACCAUCACAGCUACCAAUGAGCCCGACUUUUCCUUUGAAGCACCUAUCAUGGAUGAAUGUCACGGAAAAGAGAAUGAUGUUAAAGCUGCAAAUGCUGGCAUUGGUGCUCAAGCUCAAGCUGAAGGUACAACACCUAGCAUGAACAAGGAUGAAGUCACUGGAUUGAACCUACAAGUUGCAACACAGGCUGCUGAAACUCGUGAUCAACAAAGAGUGAGUUUUGAGAUGGAAGGCAACGUCUCAUCUCACAGCCCCUACUCUUCUAUGAUGCACAUAGGAGUGCGACAGCCAGCAUUUGGGAGGACUAGCCAUCAUGCGAGUUGUUCUUAAAGGGCUCUGAAGACUAUGAGUUGAUGCAUGGUAUGGAUGAGCCUACAAUCAAGAAGAGCACCGUCAGCUCCAUCUAUGCAAACAUCCUCGUGUUUCAUGUUUCAAACAACGAUGACAGCCCAAAAAAUCAAAUUGUUGAUGCAAGCAGUGGCCCUAGCACACAUGCCAAGAACACUAGGAAGGAAAGGAUGGCUAAAGUUCCGUCCGUAAAAAUACCAAGGCAAAGAAGCAAAAAGUCAAUGAAGCUGCAACUAUGUAUGGGAAGUAUCUUAAGCAUGGUAAACCAUUAAGGAGAUCACCACCCAAUGAACAAGUGACACCUUUUGUCAAGAUAGGUGGUUUUUACAUUGGAUACAAGUAAUUCCUUGUAUGCUUCAAGCCUCGCGGGGAUAUGAACGAUGGGGUUAUGUCACUAUGUAUCGAGAUGAACAACCUCACAUCUCAUGCAGGAAGCAAUAGGGUUGUGAAAAAUACAUGUUCUUAGUCCACGCGGGGAUCCUACUAAAAUUAGACCCAUCAACCUUCCAAACACCAGAUCUCAUGCCCGAGCUUGAAAGGGCCAUCACAAAGUUCAAGGUUCAAAAAUUUGACCUCCUUUUUUUUCACAAAAGUUCAUGAUCGCCAUUGGAUAGUUCUUUGCGCAAACUUGCUUCACAAGCAGUGGAAUGUAUUUGACUCAAUCCAUUCAAAGGAAAACAAUCUCCUUUCAAGAAGCAUGCCAAUAACCUGAUCACAAACUUUGCAACUCUCACACAAGCGUGUAGCGAAUUUAAUGUCGAUGUUGGAUCCUUUGCCCGGUUAACCUAGAGGAUUACCCAAAGCAAAAAUAACAUAACUAUGAUGGGAAGGCAGUGAGAGAGUUCAAGCAGUUCAGGAAGCUACCCAAAUGGCUCAUCUCAUCAACCACUUCUGUUCCCAAUCAGGUCAGACUCCAAAUUGGCACAAAUCUUCUAUUCUUUUUAGUGUUACUGUCUCCCAGUCUCUAGCCCAACAUAUUAAUAAUAUUUUCCUAGUUACCCUUAUUGAUAGUACAUCAACUCACCUUGGCCACCCUCUCAUCCUUCCUGCAAAGGACCGUGCUUCGGCUUAUAACUUUGUUUAUGAUAAAUUCAAGAAUAAGCUUCCCACUUACAAAGCUGAUAAAUUAUCCCAUGCUGCUAGACUUGAGCUUAUCAAUUCAGUGUUCGCUUCCAUACCUGUUUACUAUAUGUCCAAUAUCCUCUUUUCAAAAAAAAAAAUCCUUGCGAAGCUCAUGGCAAUCAUUCGUAAUUUUUGGUGGGUUGGUGUUAGAGAGGAAGCUAGUGCAAGAGCUUUAUGUCUCAGGGCUUGGAAAGAUAUUUGUACUCCUAAAAAAGGUGGAUUGGGAAUCAAAAACAUGUUGGCUAUGAAUCAAGGUCUCCUUGCGGCUGCCUGGAGACUUGCUGAAAAUCCAGAAAGCCAAGUCUAUCAAGUUCUCCAUGCUAAGUAUUUUCCUGAUUCUUCCAUUUGGAGAGCUACUCCGAAUACUCCGAAAUAUGCUCUCUGGACUUCUAUUCUCAAGGUCUUGCCGAUGCUCAAGGAGCAUUCUUUUUACCAGAUCACCCAAGGCAACAUUUCUAUUUGGAGCUCACCUUGCUGUACCACUUGGGAGAACAUAUAUGAUCACCUUAUUGUCUAGCAUAGUGCUUUUAUUUACCCGGCUAAGGUCUCUGAUCUUUGGCUACCAGGCCAAAAAGUUUGGAAUUCUGAGUUCAUUACUAACCUUUUUCAGGAACCGACUGCUUCGGCUAUUAUUGCAACUCCUAUAGUUCUUGAUGAUAGUAGGGAUAUCCUUUGUUGGAAGCCCACUCCUUCUGCAGGUCUGGAAGCACAAAUUCAUGGCUCCAAGGGUUAAAACUUUUGCAUGGGGCUUACUUAGGCAUGCUCUCCCAACUGGUCUUAGAGCUGGCAGGUUUUCCUCUCAUAUUUCUUCUACAUGCUCUAGAUGUGAUUCAGAUAAAGAUGAAAUGCAUCUUUUCUUUCUUUGCAACUUUGCUAGAGCCUCUUGGUUCGGGCACCCCGGUAUAUUAGAUCUGAUAUUCUUGCUCUCAAUCAUAAUUCCGUUCUUGAUAUUAUUCAGGUUCUAAUUAACAUGAACCAUCCGUAAGCAUCUAUUCCUAAUAUAUUUACCUUGUGGUGUUUGUGGAAAGCAAGAAAUGGUGUUCUUUUUUUAGGUAAGUAUCACAUUCCCAUAAGGUUCACCAAGCUGCUCUAGCCAUCGCCUCUGUCCAAGAUAUGCAAGAUCCCCAAGAACACCUAAAUAGGGAGUUGCCUUCUUCGAAGGAGAAGCAAUCUACAACCAUACUCUCUCAAGGGCAAGAACAAGUACAUCAAGGCUCCACCCUCAAAUCUGACUUGGCUAUUUCAGAUGGCUGCUUCAAGAGAUAUCAAUAACACCAACAUCAGCUGGAGGUGCAGACAACCAAUUAGCGAGUUAUUUCAAAUCUCCCAUUCUCUUAAUGUUGUUUAUCACAUCUCUAGGAAUACCAAUGGAAUUGCUCACAAUUGUGCUCAUCAGGUUCUCAACUCGGGAGUAGAACCUGUCUUUAGUUGUUCACGUUCUUCUCAUGGCAAUGUACCUUUCCCUUUUCUGCAAUCCCUCCUCAAUUUUCAAGUUCAGGGCUAUGUAAUUCAUGCUGUACAUUGUCUAUGAGUUGAAUGAAAUUGUGGCGCUUGAUGGAGCCUUCCUUGUGUUAAAAAAACUAGUAACAUACUUGCUUACUUUUUGCAUUCAUUUUUACAGGAAGACAUGGCGCGAUACCGCAUAGAUCUAGCACACAACCUCCUUAUUCACCGAAUGAACAAUGCUCUAAAGGAGCGGGCAUUCAAUGAAGAGUUGGUGGCUUUAUUUUUUGGAAGGUUCAAGACGGACAAGCUCCUUUCUUCGUUAGUCUAAAUCAUGUCUGAGGUGGUAGUGUUCUGAUGGGAUUAGAGUAGUGCGUGUUUGUA